rnacentral:rRNA from 1 species
UCUGGUUGAUCCUGCCAGUAGUCAUAUGCUUGUCUCAAAGAUUAAGCCAUGCAUGUCUAAGUAUAAAUGUUAUACAGUGAAACUGCGAAUGGCUCAUUAAAACAGUUAUAGUUUAUUUGAUAAUCGAAUUUUACAUGGAUAACCGUGGUAAUUCUAGAGCUAAUACAUGCUGUUUGGCCUGACUUUUUGGAAGGGCUGUAUUUAUUAGAUAACAGACCAAUAUUCCUCGUGUCUAUUGAGUUGACUCAUAGUAACUGAUCGAAUCGCAUGGGCUUUGCCCGCGAUAAAUCAUUCAAGUUUCUGCCCCAUCAGCUUUCGAUGGUAGUGUAUUGGACUACCAUGGCUCUAACGGGUAACGGAGGAUUAGGGUUCGAUUCCGGAGAGGGAGCCUGAGAAACGGCUACCACAUCUAUGGAAGGCAGCAGGCGCGUAAAUUACCCAAUCCUAAUUCAGGGAGGUAGUGACAAGAAAUAACGGACCGAAGCUUUUGUUUCGGGAUUGCAAUGAGUUGAAUUUAAACCCCUUAAUGAGGAUCAAUCGGAGGGCAAGUCUGGUGCCAGCAGCCGCGGUAAUUCCAGCUCCAAUAGCAUAUAUUAAAGUUGUUGCAGUUAAAAAGCUCGUAGUUGGAUUUCUGGGAGGGAUCUGAUGCCCGCUUGUUGGCGUGUGCUGAGGUUCCCUCCCAUCCUUCUGUUAACGUUUCUUGGUAUUCAUUUACUGGUUUCGGGCUCAGAUAUUUUACCUUGAGAAAAUUAGAGUGUUUCAGGCAGGCUUGCGCCGGAAUACAUUAGCAUGGAAUAAUAGAAUAGGACGUUUCGCUCCUUUGUUGGUUUGAGGGCUUAGCGUAAUGAUUAAUAGGGGUAGUUGGGGGCAUUAGUAUUUAAUUGUCAGCGGUGAAAUUCUCGGAUUUGUUAAAGACUAACUUAUGCGAAAGCAUUUGCCAAGGAUGUUUUCAUUAAUCAAGAACGAAAGUUAGGGGAUCAAAGACGAUCAGAUACCGUCCUAGUCUUAACCAUAAACUAUGCCGACUAGGGAUCGGAGGUGAGUUUUAUCCGCCUUCGGCACCUUAUGAGAAAUCAAAGUCUUUGGGUUCUGGGGGGAGUAUGGUCGCAAGGCUGAAACUUAAAGGAAUUGACGGAAGGGCACCACCAGGAGUGGAGCUUGCGGCUCAAUUUGACCCAACACGGGAAAACUUACCAGGUCCAGACAUAGUGAGGAUUGACAGAUUG